CUAUGGCCAUACCACCCUGAAUACACCCAAUCUUGUCUCAUCUCAUAAGCUAAGCAGGGUCGGGCCUGGUUAGUACUUGAAUGGUAAAAGCAGGCUGCAAAGC
rnacentral:rRNA from 1 species